GACUACUGGGGUAUCUAAGCCCGUUCGCUCCCCUAGCUUUCGCCCUUCAGCGUCAGGUGCAGGCCAGAAAGCCGCUUUCGCCACUGGUGUUCUUCCUAAUAUCUGAGCAUUCCACCGCUACACUAGGAAUUCCGCUUCCCUCUCCUGCCCUCUAGUAACCUAGUUUUGAACGACCUCUCCCAGUUAAGCCAGGAUCUGUCACGCCCAACUUUGGCCACCGCCUACUUGCCCUUUACGCCCAGUAAAUCCGGAUAACGCUCGCCUCCUACGUUUUACCGCGGCUGCUGGCACGUAGUUAGCCGAGACUUAUUCCUAAGGUACUGUCCUUCCUCAUCCCUCAGAAAAGAGUUUUACAACCCGAAGGCCUUCUUCACUCACGCGGCGUUGCUGCAUCAGGGUUUCCCCCAUUGUGCAAUAUUCCUUACUGCAGCCCCCCGUAGG
rnacentral:rRNA from 1 species